rnacentral:tRNA from 2 species
GGUGACUUGGUGUAGCUGGAUAGCACAACGGAUUGUGAUUCCGCAGGGCCUAGUUCGAGUCUAGGAGUCACCC